UUCCUAUAUUUUGAGAAGAAAGCGACACCGUACGAUUCAGCGUAUAAAGAAAUUGUACUUACGGAUGUCAAGUGUAUUACUGAACACCAGUAUUCUAGCGAUUUAUGGCCUUUGAAAAUCAAGCGAAAUUGUAUUGACAAAUCGCUCGCAGUAUGUAUUAAGGGUCAUUCCAUUUAUUAUCCGCACCCCCCCCUAUGGAUGAGCUCUGGUAAAAAUGUUACCUGUAGGAAUCGGAUUUCAGAGAAGUACCCUGUUGGAAUCGACAGUAACCUGAAGUUCAGGCCCUAAUCACAGAAUAGGGCCUGACACAAAACCUAUCUAAAGUGUGAGAUUCCCGUCCACCUGGUGGACGGGAAAUCUGAUUGGUUGAUCAGCAUCAUGAAGGAUUUUGAUUGGUUGCAAGUUUACAUAAACAACAGUUUUAAAAAUAGCUCGGUCAAGGCGACAAUUAAUAUAAAGGUCAAACGCACGUACAAAUUCCAUUAUCGAUUUCUUCGAAUUUCUUU